rnacentral:rRNA from 1 species
AGGGCACACAUAAUGAUGACGAGUAGGGCGAGGCACGUGAAACCUUGUCUGAAUAUGGGGGGACCAUCCUCCAAGGCUAAAUACUCCUGACUGACCGAUAGUGAACCAGUACCGUGAGGGAAAGGCGAAAAGAACCCCUGUGAGGGGAGUGAAAUAGAUCCUGAAACCGCAUGCAUACAAGCAGUGGGAGCACCUUCGUGGUGUGACUGCGUACCUUUUGUAUAAUGGGUCAGCGACUUAUAUUCAGUAGCAAGGUUAACCGUAUAGGGGAGCCGUAGAGAAAUCGAGUCUUAAUAGGGCGUUUAGUUGCUGGGUAUAGACCCGAAACCAGGCGAUCUAUCCAUGAGCAGGUUGAAGGUUGGGUAACACUAACUGGAGGACCGAACCCACUGUCGUUGAAAAGCCAGGGGAUGACUUGUGGAUAGGGGUGAAAGGCUAAUCAAGCCUGGUGAUAGCUGGUUCUCCCCGAAAGCUAUUUAGGUAGCGCCUCGGACGAAUACCAUAGGGGGUAGAGCACUGUUUCGGCUAGGGGGUCAUCCCGACUUACCAAACCGAUGCAAACUCCGAAUACCUAUGAGUACUAUCCGGGAGACAGACUGCGGGUGCUAACGUCCGUAGUCAAGAGGAAAACAAUCCAGACCGCCAGCUAAGGCCCCAAAAUCAUAGUUAAGUGGGAAACGAUGUGGGAAGGCAUAGACAGCUAGGAGGUUGGCUUAGAAGCAGCCACCCUUUAAAGAAAGCGUAAUAGCUCACUAGUCGAGUCGGCCUGCGCGGAAGAUGUAACGGGGCUAAAACUAUGUGCCGAAGCUGCGGAUUUGACAUUAGUCAAGUGGUAGGGGAGCGUUCUGUAAGCCGAUGAAGGUGUAUUGAGAAGUAUGCUGGAGGUAUCAGAAGUGCGAAUGCUGACGUGAGUAACGACAAAACGGGUGAAAAACCCGUUCGCCGAAAGACCAAGGGUUCCAGUCCAACGUUAAUCGGGGCUGGGUGAGUCGACCCCUAAGGCGAGGCCGAAAGGCGUAGUCGAUGGGAAAAUGGUUAAUAUUCCAUUACUUCUGUGUAAUGCGAUGAGAGGACGGAGAAGGCUAAAUCAGCCUGGCGUUGGUUGUCCAGGUGAAAGGAUGUAGGCAUGUAUCUUAGGCAAAUCCGGGGUACUCUAUGCUGAGAUCUGAUAGCAAGCUGUACUUGUACAGCGAAGUGGUUGAUGCCAUGCUUCCAGGAAAAGUCUCUAAGCUUCAGUUACACAGGAAUCGUACCCGAAACCGACACAGGUGGUCAGGUCGAGUAGACCAAGGCGCUUGAGAGAACUCUGCUGAAGGAACUAGGCAAAAUGGUACCGUAACUUCGGGAGAAGGUACGCUGUUGUUGGUGAUGGAACUCGCUUCCUGAGCUGACGACAGCCGCAGAAACCAGGCCGCUGCAACUGUUUAUUAAAAACAUAGCACUCUGCAAACACGAAAGUGGACGUAUAGGGUGUGAUGCCUGCCCGGUGCUGGAAGGUUAAUUGAUGGGGUUAGCGUAAGCGAAGCUCUUGAUCGAAGCCCCAGUAAACGGCGGCCGUAACUAUAACGGUCCUAAGGUAGCGAAAUUCCUUGUCGGGUAAGUUCCGACCUGCACGAAUGGCAUAAUGAUGGCGGCGCUGUCUCCAGCAGAGGCUCAGUGAAAUCGAAAUCGCUGUGAAGAUGCAGUGUACCCGCGGCUAGACGGAAAGACCCCGUGAACCUUUACUGCAGCUUGACACUGAACUUUGACCUUACUUGUGUAGGAUAGGUGGGAGGCUUUGAAGCUGGAACGCUAGUUCCAGUGGAGCCGUCCUUGAAAUACCACCCUGGUAAUGUUGAGGUUCUAACUCUGUCCCGUGAUCCGGGACGAGGACCGUGUCUGGUGGGUAGUUUGACUGGGGCGGUCUCCUCCUAAAGAGUAACGGAGGAGUACGAAGGUGCGCUCAGCGUGGUCGGAAAUCACGCGUAGAGUAUAAAGGCAAAAGCGCGCUUAACUGCGAGACCCACAAGUCGAGCAGGUACGAAAGUAGGUCUUAGUGAUCCGGUGGUUCUGUAUGGAAGGGCCAUCGCUCAACGGAUAAAAGGUACUCUGGGGAUAACAGGCUGAUACCGCCCAAGAGUUCAUAUCGACGGCGGUGUUUGGCACCUCGAUGUCGGCUCAUCUCAUCCUGGGGCUGAAGCAGGUCCCAAGGGUAUGGCUGUUCGCCAUUUAAAGAGGUACGCGAGCUGGGUUUAGAACGUCGUGAGACAGUUCGGUCCCUAUCUACCGUGGGCGCUGGAAAUUUGAGAGGAUCUGCUCCUAGUACGAGAGGACCAGAGUGGACGAACCUCUGGUGUACCGGUUGUGACGCCAGUCGCAUCGCCGGGUAG